AUACACAUUUCUGUACGCUUUGUAGUAUUCAUUCCAACACUUGUAGGACUCCUACAGGUGUUACAGAUCUGGUAAGUACAUACAUGUAAAAAUGACACUUUAGGACUGCUCCACCAUAUAGUAUAGAUACCUUGAUGAUUUCGAAAAAUAAAAAUAAUCGUUUCCUAGUUGUGCUAAGUAAAUUUUUUUAAGAUUAAAUGUCGUACCAAUCUGAAAGGUUGCUGCAUGCAUUAAUCUUGUCUUUACUUAAGCAAUUGAAACAUUGUAUAUUUCUCAGAACCAAAGUACGGGAAAACCUGCAAAUUCUCUUAAUCCAAGGCAGUGUAUCCUAGGGCUUUACAAGAUCGACACACGUUGAGCUCUAUUUUUCUAUCUUCAUACUAAGGUCUGACUUUAUUUUGAACCAGAUUUAGGAGCUCUGCAAAUUUCACUACAAUGAAAUGAAUCAUAAUUCACAACAGCAACAUGAAGUGAAGUCUCACAAAUUCAUCAUGUGACAUUUUGAAGUUGUGCUGAAUCUCGUAAAAAAACCCUCAAGUUUUCUCAAUACAUGAAGGGUUAUGAGAACCACCAGCUAGUUGCUGGUAAGUACCUAUUUCUGCACAUAAAAAAAGGGUCCAUUGCUGUCUAUGGAAUACUUGUGCAAUUUUGAUCACCCAACACUAAAUUAGGAUGUCACUUGUGCAGAUGAUUUAUACGCUGCAAAGCUGUUUACGUGCAAACUAACCUAACUUACGAAUGGGUGAUGCAUUGUAAGUGCCUUAGUUUGGUUGAUCUGUUCUAUAAUUCAAUUAGAAAUGUACAAUCGGAAGCUAAUGUUAUGAUGUUAACCUGGUCUUUCUAGAUCAAUCUCGGUAAAAGGUGUGGUCCUUCUGGUUGACAUGAUUAAGUUCAGUCCAGCUGAAGAAAUGCUAUCCUGGAGAUCUCAAUCUGUAUCUUCCAGUCUGUCCAUAAUCUGGACUCUCUGUCUUGGAGUUGUACAUUUUUCUACCCUAGUAGGAUUGACUCUACCCAUGCAUGAUGAAUAGUUCUCACAUGACGGUCUUGUGUUAUCUUCUUCAGGCACAUAAAUCUGGUUUUCUUAGCUUUGCUCUGCUAUGCUUCAAAAUAGUUCAUUUAAAGCUUCGUGGUCACUCGUUAAGACAUGGUGGUGCACUUGCUAGUUCAGGACUAAAUGUGCUAUAAUAGAUGGUUUUUGAGUUUACUAAGCUUCCACAACCUUUUCAUAGAGUUAACAUUUUCAGGUUGCAUUUCAUCACGACAAGAUGUUCUCCAAACCGAUUAUCCUUUUAUCUUAUGUUGCUAGCCUCA